rnacentral:rRNA from 1 species
AUACGGAGGGGGUUAGCGUUGUUCGGAAUUACAGGGCGUAAAGCGCACGUAGGCGGACUGGAAAGUUGGGGGUGAAAUCCCGGGGCUCAACCCCGGAACUGCCUCCAAAACUUCCAAUCUAGAGAUCGAGAGAGGUGAGUGGAAUUCCAAGUGUAGAGGUGAAAUUCGUAGAUAUUUGGAGGAACACCAGUGGCGAAGGCGGCUCACUGGCUCGAUACUGACGCUGAGGUGCGAAAGCGUGGGGAGCAAACAGGAUUAGAAACCCUAGUAGUCC